rnacentral:rRNA from 1 species
ACGAACGCUGGCGGCGUGCUUAACACAUGCAAGUCAGGGAGAACGGUGUCCUUCGGGAUGCCUAGUAAACCGGCAAACGGGUGAGUAACACGUAGGUAACUUGCCUUUGGGUUUGGGAUAACCCCGCCUAACGCGGGGGUAAGUUCCGAAUAAUGCAGCGGAUCCGCAUGGAUAUGUUGUUAAAGACGGCGAUGACUUGUCAUCGUCGCGCCUAAAGAUGGACCUGCGCCCCAUUAGCUAGUUGGUGAGGUUACGGCUCACCAAGGCUGCGAUGGGUAGCCGGCCUGAGAGGGUGACCGGCCACACUGGGACUGAGAUACGGCCCAGACUCCUACGGGAGCAGCAGUGAGGAAUAUUGGGCAAUGGCCGAAAGGCUGACCCAGCAACGCCGCGUGAGGGAUGAAGCUCUAAGGAGUGUAAACCUCUUUCGGGAGGGAAUAAUUUCU